AUAUUCCCUAGGCAACACUGCAUUCAUAUUCCCUAGGUAACACUGCAUUCAUAUUCCCUAGGCAACACUGCAUUCAUAUUCCCUAGGUAACACUGCAUUCAUAUUCCCUAGGUAACACUGCAGUCAUAUUCCCUAGGCAACACUGCAUUCAUAUUCCCUAGGUAACACUGCAGUCAUAUUCCCUAGGUAACACUGCAUUCAUAUUCCCUAGGUAACACUGCAUUCAUAUUCCCUAGGUAACACUGCAUUCAUAUUCCCUAGGUAACACUGCAGUCAUAUUCCCUAGGUAACACUGCAUUCAUAUUCCCUAGGUAACACUGCAGUCAUAUUCCCUAGGUAACACUGCAGUCAUAUUCCCUAGGUAACACUGCAUUCAUAUUCCCUAGGUAACACUGCAGUCAUAUUCCCUAGGUAACACUGCAUUCAUAUUCCCUAGGUAACACUGCAGUCAUAUUCCCUAGGUAACACUGCAUUCAUAUUCCCUAGGUAACACUGCAGUCAUAUUCCCUAGGUAACACUGCAUUCAUAUUCCCUAGGUAGCACUGCAUUCAUAUUCACUCAAGUAGAUGUCCCUGAAGCGAUCCCAACACAUACAGAUGUGAUGUCUUAAUUCGACCAGCUUCUCACCGCAAAACAAAAAAAUCCCUACAGAAACAGGAAAUGAUUAUGAUAAUUAUUAUAAUUAAUGGAUGUUUUUGUGGCCCUUUCUCCUUUUUCUCCGUUCGGGAAAAUCAAGUCUGACGUUUUAAAGUGGAAGAUAGAAACUUUAAAAGCCUUUUUAAAACCUUGAAUACAUAACAAGUUUCCAUUUCCUGCGGAACGACGACGGAGUGAUCAGGACAUCUGUAGUAACGACAUGAAAGACAUUCUAAAAGUGUAAAAGGCUCGUUUUCCGGUUGAAUGACUUUGUUUUCAGUAAUCCCAACAUGUUUUAUCUUCAGAGUUUGUAAUUUACCAUCAACUGCUGUGAAGCUCAGAGGAAACCUCAUGUAAUUGCCUCUGUAUCUGCAGUCUCUCUGGCUGUAAACUCACAGAAGCAUCCUGUGAAGUGUUGGCCUCAGCUCUCAGUUCCUCCUCACACCUGAGAGAGCUGGAUCUGAGUAACAAUGACCUGCUGGAUUCAGGAGUGAAGCUGCUCUCUGCUGGACGGGGGGAUUCACCAUGUAAACUGGAGAUACUGAGGUUGGCAUUCUGUGAAGUCACAGAGGAAGGCUGUGCUUCUCUGGCCUCAGCUCUGAAGUCAAACCCUUCACACCUGAGAGCUGGAUCUGAGUUACAAUCACCCAGGAGACUCGGGAGUCAGACUGCUCUCUGCUGGACUGGAGGAUCCACACUGCAGACUGGAGAAACUCAAUGUGGAACAUGGAGGACAGUACACAAUUAAACACGGGCUUAGAAAAUGUGAGUGUUGACUGCUGCGAAGAAGAAAUCCUGUUAGUUUUAUUUUAAGUUGACUCGAAGAAAGAUCGUUUUUCAGAGCGUGUGUGUGUGUGUGUGUGUGUGGUUACACUAACAGGACCUCGCUCUGUUGGGAAUAUUGAUUGGUGUGUUAUGAGGUUAUGAUCAUACAGUAUAACAUUAUAUAUCAUUCAACAAAUCUGACUUAACCUUUUCCCUUGGCUCUUUAAUACCGAGAAACAUUAUCAUUCUGAUGGGGCUCUUUAACACCUAGAAACAUUAUAAUUCUGAUGGGGCUCUUAAAUACCUAGAAACAUUAUCAUUCUGAUGGUGCUCUUUAACACCUAGAAACAUUAUCAUUCUGAUGGGGCUCUUUAAUACCUAGAAACAUUAUCAUUCUGAUGGGGCUCUUUAACACCUAGAAACAUCAUUCUGAUGGGGCUCUUUAACACCUAGAAACAUUAUCAUUCUGAUGGGGCUCUUUAAUACCUAGAAACAUUAUCAUUCUGAUGGGACUCUUUAAUACCGAGAAACAUUAUCAUUCUGAUGGGUCUCUUUAACGCCUAGAAACAUUAUCAUUCUGAUGGGGCUCUUUAAUACCUAGA